GACCUAAUGGCGAAGCGGUAUCGCGUCCGUACUGUAUUUCUUGGAUUGAGCUGAUUUUAUGGUGGAAGUUCCUGGUUCGACUCCAGGCUAGGUCA